AUACUUACCUGGCAGGGGAGACACCUUGAUCAUGAAGGUGGUUUUCCCAGCGUGAGGCUCAUCCAUUGCACUGCAGGUGUGCUGACCUCUGCGAUUUCCCCUAAUGUCUAAACCCCCCCCAAAAAAACUCAUAGAGGUGUCUCCUC
rnacentral:snRNA from 1 species